UCUUCUGGAGUCUGGGCUUGACACG
rnacentral:misc_RNA from 1 species